rnacentral:rRNA from 1 species
GUUGAGCUAACGGGUACUAAUGAACCGGGAGGCUUAACCUUACAACGCCGAAG